UGCUUGAAAUUGUAAAUGCUUUACUUUUACAAUAAAUUGCUGUCUGACUGAAUAGUUCGCUUUUUAGAUUAAAAGAAAAUAAAGAAGUCGGAGCGAGCUUAGUUGCUUCGCUUCUACAUAAAACAGCUCCGCUCCGGCCUUCCCGCGCUAUGCGCGCGACCUGCAAGUGUUUUAUUUUGUGUGACCUGGGCAUUCUAAUGAGAGAAUGACAGUAUGUCAGGAGGUUGCUGUUUUAACAAGCGUUGGCUAUCCGAAAAGAAAUACAAGCUGUGGCUAAAACGAGGAUCAACCCAAUGAUUCGCCUUCUGCACAGUUUGCCACAAAGAAUUUCAAUUAUUCGCGAUGGGAGAGUCUGCGCUGACGAGCCAUAUGAAAGCAAACUGGAGGUUUGG